rnacentral:rRNA from 1 species
UACGUAGGGGGCAAGCGUUGUCCGGAAUUAUUGGGCGUAAAGAGCGUGUAGGCGGCCAGAUAGGUCAGCUGUGAAAACUCGAGGCUCAACCUCGAGAUGUCGGCUGAAACCAUCUGGCUAGAGUCCGGAAGAGGAGAAUGGAAUUCCCGGUGUAGCGGUGAAAUGCGCAGAUAUCGGGAAGAACACCAAUGGCGAAGGCAGCUCUCUGGGACGGUACUGACGCUGAGACGCGAAAGCGUGGGGAGCGAACAGG